rnacentral:rRNA from 1 species
GAUGAACGCUAGCUACAGGCUUAACACAUGCAAGUCGAGGGGAAACGACAUCGAAAGCUUGCUUUUGAUGGGCGUCGACCGGCGCACGGGUGAGUAACGCGUAUCCAACCUGCCCACCACUUGGGGAUAACCUUGCGAAAGUAAGACUAAUACCCAAUGAUAUCCCUAGAAGACAUCUGAAAGAGAUUAAAGAUUUAUCGGUGAUGGAUGGGGAUGCGUCUGAUUAGCUUGUUGGCGGGGUAACGGCCCACCAAGGCAACGAUCAGUAGGGGUUCUGAGAGGAAGGUCCCCCACAUUGGAACUGAGACACGGUCCAAACUCCUACGGGAGGCAGCAGUGAGGAAUAUUGGUCAAUGGACGAGAGUCUGAACCAGCCAAGUAGCGUGCAGGAAGACGGCCCUAUGGGUUGUAAACUGCUUUUAUAAGGGAAUAAAGUGAGUCUCGUGAGACUUUUUGCAUGUACCUUAUGAAUAAGGACCGGCUAAUUCCGUG